GCCAGACUCCUACGGGAGGCAGCAGUGGGGAAUAUUGGGCAAUGGGCGCAAGCCUGACCCAGCAACGCCGCGUGAAGGAAGAAGGCUUUCGGGUUGUAAACUUCUUUUCUCAGGGACGAAGAAAGUGACGGUACCUGAGGAAUAAGCCACGGCUAACUACGUGCCAGCAGCCGCGGUAAUACGUAGGUGGCAAGCGUUAUCCGGAUUUAUUGGGUGUAAAGGGCGUGUAGGCGGGAGCGCAAGUCAGAUGUGAAAUCCCGCGGCUCAACCGCGGAACUGCAUUUGAAACUGUGCUUCUUGAGUGCUGGAGAGGCAGACGGAAUUCCUAGUGUAGCGGUGAAAUGCGUAGAUAUUAGGAGGAACACCAGUGGCGAAGGCGGUCUGCUGGACAGUAACUGACGGUGAGGCGCGAAAGCGUGGGGAGCAAACAGGAUUAGAUACCCCAGUAC
rnacentral:rRNA from 1 species